CUUCAGCUGAUGAGUCCAAAAUAGGAUGAAACGUGUGUCCUGGAU
rnacentral:hammerhead_ribozyme from 1 species